rnacentral:rRNA from 1 species
UCGGUCCCUAUCUGCCGUGGGCGCUGGAGAACUGAGGGGGGCUGCUCCUAGUACGAGAGGACCGGAGUGGACGCAUCACUGGUGUUCGGGUUGUCAUGCCAAUGGCACUGCCCGGUAGCUAAAUGCGGAAGAGAUAAGUGCUGAAAGCAUCUAAGCACGAAACUUGCCCCGAGAUGAGUUCUCCCUGACUCCUUGAGAGUCCUGAAGGAACGUUGAAGACGACGACGUUGAUAGGCCGGAUGUGUAAGCGCAGCGAUGCGUUGAGCUAACCGGUACUAAUGAACCGUGAGGCUUAACCUU